AACGAACGCUGGCGGCAUGCCUAACACAUGCAAGUCGAACGAGACCUUCGGGUCUAGUGGCGCACGGGUGCGUAACGCGUGGGAAUCUGCCCUCUGGUUCGGAACAACAGUUGGAAACGACUGCUAAUACCGGAUAAUGACUUCGGUCCAAAGAUUUAUCGCCUGAGGAUGAGCCCGCGUCGGAUUAGCUUGUUGGUGAGGUAAAAGCUCACCAAGGCGACGAUCCGUAGCUGGUCUGAGAGGAUGAUCAGCCACACUGGGACUGAGACACGGCCCAGACUCCUACGGGAGGCAGCAGUGGGGAAUAUUGGACAAUGGGCGAAAGCCUGAUCCAGCAAUGCCGCGUGAGUGGUGAAGGCCUUAGGGUUGUAAAGCUCUUUUACCCGGGAUGACAAUGACAGUACCGGGAGAAUAAGCCCCGGCUAACUCCGUGCCAGCAGCCGCGGUAAAAC
rnacentral:rRNA from 1 species